rnacentral:rRNA from 1 species
UUGGUGGGUCUCGAGUGGCGAACGGGUGAGUAACACGUGAGUAACCUGCCCUUGACUUUGGGAUAACUUCAGGAAACUGGGGCUAAUACCGGAUAGGAGCUCCUGCUGCAUGGUGGGGGUUGGAAAGUUUCGGCGGUUGGGGAUGGACUCGCGGCUUAUCAGCUUGUUGGUGGGGUAGUGGCUUACCAAGGCUUUGACGGGUAGCCGGCCUGAGAGGGUGACCGGCCACAUUGGGACUGAGAUACGGCCCAG